rnacentral:rRNA from 1 species
CCUUACCUGGCCUUGACAUACUAAGAACUUUCCAGAGAUGGAUUGGUGCCUUCGGGAACUUAGAUACAGGUGCUGCAUGGCUGUCGUCAGCUCGUGUCGUGAGAUGUUGGGUUAAGUCCCGCAACGAGCGCAACCCUUUUCCUUAUUGCCAGCGGGUUAAGCCGGGAACUUUAAGGAUACUGCCAGUGACAAACUGGAGGAAGGCGGGGACGACGUCAAGUCAUCAUGGCCCUUACGGCCAGGGCUACACACGUGCUACAAUGGUCGGUACAAAGGGUUGCUACCUCGCGAGAGGAUGCUAAUCUCAAAAAGCCGAUCGUAGUCCGGAUCGCAGUCUGCAACUCGACUGCGUGAAGUCGGAAUCGCUAGUAAUCGCGGAUCAGAAUGCCGCGGUGAAUACGUUCCCGGGCCUUGUACACACCGCCCGUCACACCAUGGGAGUUUGUUGCACCAGAAGUAGGUAGUCUAACCGCAAGGAGGACGCUUACUACGGUGUGGCCGAUGACUGGGGUGAAGUCGUAACAAGGUAGGCGUAGAUGA